rnacentral:rRNA from 1 species
AUACGUAGGUGGCAAGCGUUGUCCGGAAUUAUUGGGCGUAAAGCGCGCGCAGGCGGUCCUUUAAGUCUGAUGUGAAAGCCCCCGGCUCAACCGGGGAGGGUCAUUGGAAACUGGGGAACUUGAAUGCAGAAGAGGAUAGUGGAAUUCCAAGUGUAGCGGUGAAAUGCGUAGAGAUUUGGAGGAACACCAGUGGCGAAGGCGACUGUCUGGUCUGUAACUGACACUGAGGCGCGAAAGCGUGGGGAGCAAACAGGAUUAGAUACCCUGGUAGUCCACGCCGUAAACGAUGAGUGCUAAGUGUUGGGGGGUUUCCGCCCCUCAGUGCUGCAGCUAACGCAUUAAGCACUCCGCCUGGGGAGUACGGUCGCAAGACUAAAACUCAAAUGAAUUGACGGGG